AGACGGGGGGUGCUAGCGUUGUUCGGAAUUACGGGGCGUAAAGGGCGCGUAGGCGGCUCUGCGAGUCGGGCGUGAAAUCCCGGGGCUCAACCCCGGAACGGCGCUCGAUACUGCGGGGCUGGAGACCGGAAGAGGAGGGUGGAAUUCCCAGUGUAGAGGUGAAAUUCGUAGAUAUUGGGAGGAACACCGGUGGCGAAAGCGGCUCUCUGGUCCGGUUCUGACGCUGAGGCGCGAAAGCGUGGGGAGCAAACAGGAUUAGAAACCCUAGUAGUCC
rnacentral:rRNA from 1 species